UGCUUUAAGUCACUAGGUAUGUUACGUGGGUUUGUCUUCCUUAGGGUGGAGUUAGUGGAACCGAAAAAGAUGUCUCCCUCACAGCGUUUGUGACAAAAGAAUUGCAUCGUUCCUUGGCGGCCUUUCAACAGAAGAAUAUUCAGAGAUUUCACGAGUGUUGAUUUCCCAAAGUGGAGCAUCUCACAUUUAAUGGAUUAAAAUCCACUUGCCGUUUCUGCAACUGAUCUGGAGGCAACACACAGCCCUGGUAUCUCAAAUGUGGCUACAGAAACUAUGCCCCCAACGAAUGAGUCUCCAACCACGAUCACUCACUUGGAUUUACCUGACCCUGUCCCACAGCAGGGCGGUUUGUACAACGGACCUGGCUAC